UUCGUACAGAACACCCUACACAUCUGUUUACAUCUCACUUCAGUCCCUGUUCCUUUGUGUCUCCUUACCUAGUACAGAACGAAUUCCCCACUCAACCCAUCUCUCUCAGCUCUCCCGAGUUCCCAUCCGAGUACGAGCACCAUGGCGACGCUGCCCAAGCCGGCCUACCCCAGGUCGGCAUCGCCGCUCAGCUAGCUCCUCUCUGGCAGUUCGCAGCCUCAGUUCUCCGCCGCCGCAGGAUGCUAGGUCCUUGCCAUGAAUAACUCCAUUUGCAAGAUCUGGGCGUGGGCAUCUGAAUCUAGGGCUUUCUAUUUAGUUAGUCCUCAACGAGAUUUUUGAAGCACAACAAUGCACUCCAUAGGUCCAUUCAGAAGCAGAUGCCGAUGCGGGAUAGCCGUUCUUGCAGAAUUUGAAAUAUGUGUUAUCUAGAACUUUUUUUAUCAGUUAAUAUUUUUUUCUGGAACUAAUCCAAAUGCAAAGCUGUGCAGCAAGAUUGCACUGAAGUCUGUUUGCUUUUGCAUUUCUCUGAAUGGGUAUAUAGUUCGAUUGUUU